GUCAAACCCGGAGGAAGGUGGGGAUGACGUCAAGUCCUCAUGGCCCUUAUGGGUAGGGCUUCACACGUCAUACAAUGGUCGGUACAGAGGGUUGCCAAGCCGCGAGGUGGAGCCAAUCCCUUAAAGCCGAUCGUAGUCCGGAUCGUAGUCUGCAACUCGACUACGUGAAGUCGGAAUCGCUAGUAAUCGCAGAUCAGCACGCUGCGGUGAAUACGUUCCCGGGUCUU
rnacentral:rRNA from 1 species